CCAAGACCAACUGCUUUUAUCUGGGGAGGCUAUGGUCAGCGGAAACUUUCCGCUGACCAUAGCCUCUCCAGAUAAAAGCAGCUGGUCAGGU
rnacentral:pre_miRNA from 1 species